AUCCAAAGCAGUGUUCUGUGCACGCUGGGGGUUUUGCUUUGAAAUGGUGGUGCUGUGUGCUGUUCAUUCUUCAUACAGUCAGGGUUCCUACUUCUGGGCAGGGAAUUCAGGUGCCAGAGAUAGAUAAAUACUUCAGCUUAAAAAAGGGAAAGAAGAGGAGGAGGAGGAGGAAGAGGAGAAGGAGGAGGAGGAAGCAGAGAAGGAGGAGGAGGAGGAGAAAAGGAUUUGAAGAAAUUGAAUCAGUUCUGGAACAGCAGACACAGGAAUUCAGGACAUGCUACCCCAAAAUGUGAAAACUUGGCAUUUGAGAAGACAGCAGAAGCAGGAAGGUCACGCUCACUACCUCCCCCACAAUGCUCUACUCCCCUGAAACAGAUCAUAAAACCUAGGAAGGAUUUCCUGACCAUCCCCUCAAGUAGGUCUUAUGACCCUCAUGUGAGAGGUGCCCUCCCUAUACCCAGAAGAUAGCAACAUCCUCAUUUCUGAAGAUACAAGGACAAAGAGAAGAGUUUGAACAAACGGCUUCCUAAGUUCUCCCCAGUUUAUUAACAUUAUGUUACAGUCUCACCAACGCACCGCAAUGUAGCAGUCUCUCGUUUGAGGUAUCACCCUGAGUUCUCGGUCUCACAACCAUGACAAUUAAGGAACAUGAUCACCAAGGGUGAGGUUGGAGUGGAAGUUUAAUAAGCAAAAGAAGAAAGUUCUCCACCACAGAAAGGGGCCCAAAAGAGGGUUGCCAUUUUUACAGUUGAAUGCAAAGGCUUUUAUAAGAAACCAGUUAGAGCUGGGCAUCUCAUUUGCAUGAGAUGCGAAUUUCUGGUAGCUCCACCCCAUCCUCCUAAUGCACAUGUAGGCCCUUAGCUUGAGUUACUCCGUAUUGCUUUGUUGCCCUUACUGCACAUGUGUCAGGGGAUGGAAUUUUCCAUUACGGGCAUGUCUGGGCAAGUCACCUGUGUAGGCUUUCUUAUCUGUGUGGCUGUGGGCAUGUCUUAGGCAAGUGCCGCUGUGCAAGUUCCCUUAUCUGUGCCUGCAGCUUGAUUUUUCUGGCUGUUCUUUUGUUUGAAAAGAUUCAACCAAGGACCCACCAUAACUGCCUGCCUGACUGGUUUCUUCCUCCUUCCUCUCUCAAUGAUAUCAUUCUCCCUUUGUUCAAUCAUAUUUCUUCAUCAAACCUAGCAUAAAGAAUAUACAAAUUUAUGCAUUUGGGGGAGGUCUUCCUUUCCUUAUGAAGGCUUCCAUACCACGUAUAAAUAAUAUGUGUAUGAUUUUCUCUUGUGAAUCUGUAUUUUGUUAUAGGGGCCUCAGCCAUGAACCUAGAGAUUAGUGAGCAAAAAUUAUUUUUUUCUCAAGUGUUUCUUGCUUGAGAUGAUUUUCUUAUCCCCAAGAUUAAAAUAUUAUGUGUUUCUUCCAUGAUUUUUAUGGUGUUUAUAUCUAUUUCUUUAAUCUUUCUAGAAUGUACUUUUGUACAUGCUGAAAGGUAGAAUUAAUUUUGCAAAAAGGAAAAAGCUACUUGCUACUUUUACUAUAAUUAUAAUUAUAUAAUUAUUAUUAAGGUUUUUUCUUUCUUCUUUCUUUUUUUUUUUUUUUUUUUUUUUUUUUUUUUUUUGAGAUAGGGUCUCACUCUGUCACCCAGGCUAGAGUGUAGUGGUGCAAUCUGGGCUCACUGCAACCUCUGCCUCCCAGGUUCAAGUGAUCCUCCAAACUCAGCUUCCCAAGUAGCUGGGACUACAGGCAUGUGCCACCACAAUUAUUAUUUCAUUAGACCCUCUCUGGAUCUUGUUCCAUCUCUAAUAUCUCUGCCAAAUGCUCCGAAUCAGGUAGAUAUAUUUAAAUUCUAGCUGGUGCAAAGAAGGAAUAAUUUGAAAAAGAAGAAAUAAUUUUAAUGCACAUGCAAGUAAUAUACGUAUUCAUCUAGUUACUUGCAUGCAUUUGUGGCCAAAAGCCAUGAAUCAUAUAAAGAAGUAGCUGCAGCCAGGCACGGUAGCUCAUGCCUGUAAUCCUAGCACUUUGGGAGGCCAAGGGCGGGGGAGGGGGUGGAUUACCUGAGGUCAGGAGUUCGAGACCAGCCUGGCCAACAUGGUGAAACCCUGUCUUUACUAAAAAUACAAACAUUAGCUGGUCAUGGUGGUGGGUGCCUAUAAUCCCAGCUACUUGGGAGGCUGAGGAGAAUUGCUUGAACCCAGCAGAUGGAGGUUGCAGUGAGCUGAGAUUGUGCCACUUUACUCCAGCCUGGGUGAAACAGCAAAACUCCAUCUCAAAAAAAAAAGUAGCUUCAAUGCUGUUUUCAAGAUACUUAAGCCAAUUUGGUCAUACACCCUUAUUAGUUGCUUUAUGAUUAGCUCUCCAAAGCUUCCAGUAAUUAGAAUUUGGUGACAACCAUAGAGACUUCAAUUCCAAAUGGUAUGUUAUAAUGAAAGCAAAUUUCAGACCUCAUUCAGCCAUGGGUAUAAAUAUGUAUUAGCAAUCAGGCCCUCCAAAUAGUCAUACUACCCGUUUUAUAAGCUUGAUGAAGUCUUAGCUCUCUGACCUUUCAGUGUUCCCACAGAACCUUAUGAGCGUCAGAGACAGGAGGACCAUGUUCCAGCUUUGGAGCAGGAUUAACUAACUCUCAAAUGAGAGUCAGGUGAAAAAUUCUCUCACUACAGUCUAGAAUUUCAAGCCUGGAGAGAUAAUUCAAACAGUCUAGAAUUUCAAGCCUGGAGACAUAAUUCAAAAUGAAUAGACAGGCUAGCUGGACUUUUACACCUCAUUUAUGCAAAGGCAAGAGUAUCCAUAAGACAUUUUUAUCCAAUCCACAUAAAAUUGAAUUCAUUUUACCAGUAAAAAAUCAUUUCUAACAUCCCUUAUGCUAAUUAACAAACCCCCUGGGAUUGAUAUGAGAUAAAGACGACUGGAGCCAUAAUCUAAUCCUUCUGGAAUGUGGCUUCUGAAUGGAGAAUUUCUUUUUUUGUGUGUGAGAUGAAGCCUCACUUUGUUGCUGAGGCUGGAGUGCAGUGGCACGAUCCCGGCUCACUGCAACCUCUGCCUCCCAGUUUCAAGCGAUUCUCCUGCUUUAGCCCCCACCAAGUAGCUGAAAUUACAGACAUGAACCCAAUGCCUAGCUAAUUCUUUUUUUGAAUUUUUAGUAGAGACGGGGUUUUGCCAUGUUGGCCAGGCUGGUCUCGAACUCCCGACUUCAAGUGAUCCACACCCACCUUGGCCUCACAAAGUCCCGGGAUUACCUGCGUGAGCCACCAAGCCAAGCCUGAACUGACAAUUUCAAAUAUUAACCUACCAUCCAGGAGUAUAUUUUUCCUGAGAGAGUUCAGAAAUAUCACCCCAAAAUAUGCAGCAUUGGUAUGCUGAUUACUUCAAACUGAAGUCAUUUGGGAAAUGCCAAACGCACAGAGGGGCUUUUCCUGAAUUUCCCUUAUCUGACUAAGUGCAGAUUCUCCAGAAGGAAGCCAAUUGUCAAGAAAUGCUUCCUGGGGAUUUUUAUCUAUCCGUGAAGAUUAACACACAACAGAAGUCAAACCUAGAAAAAGCUGGAGGUUAGCACCUCCUACAGACAGGAUAUAACCUAUUCUUCUGAAGGCUGAUUCGUACUUUUCAUAAUCAUUUACUCUCCCUAGGUUGCCUACAUACUCCCCUUCCCUCUCUCUUAUGAAGGGAAUAUA
rnacentral:lncRNA from 10 species